GCGCAGCUGGCCGACGGUGCGGCCGCGUUCGCCUUGCAGGCGGGCCAGCGGCAAGCCGGUUUCCAGAUGGGUGCGUUCAAUCAGUGCGUCGCCCA
rnacentral:tRNA from 1 species